rnacentral:rRNA from 1 species
AGGGCCGCGGUAAUUUGACCGUGCGAAGGUAGCAUAGUCAGUAGUCUUUUAAUUGGAGGCUUGUAUGAAAGGUUGAAUGAGAGAUAAUCUGUCUUUUACUUACGAGUGGAAUUUAACUUUUAGGUGAAAAGGCCUAGAUUUUAUGGUGGGACGAUAAGACCCUAUAAAACUUAAUAUGACCUAUUUAGAGUUAAAGAUUGUGUUUAAAUUGCCUUUAAUUAGUUUAUAUUUCGUUGGGGAAACGUUGAUAUAAGGUGUAAUUGUUUAUUUAUUUUAAUAAUUUUAAUUAGUUUGUGGUCCUUUAUUAGAGAUUAAAAGAUUAAGUUACUUUAGGGAUAACAGCGUAAUUUUCUCUGAGAGUUCUUAUCGACGAGAGUAGUUGCGACCUCGAUGUUGAAUUAAAAUUUCAGUUUGGUGUAGCCGCUUUUCUGGUGGGUCUGUUCGACCUUUAAAAUUUU